rnacentral:rRNA from 1 species
GACAGAGGAUGCAAGCGUUAUCCGGAAUGAUUGGGCGUAAAGCGUCUGUAGGUGGCUUUUUAAGUCCGCCGUCAAAUCCCAGGGCUUCAACCCUGGACAGGCGGUGGAAACUACCAAGCUGGAGUACGGUAGGGGCAGAGGGAAUUUCCGGUGGAGCGGGUGAAAUGCGUAGAGAUCGGAAAGAACACCAACGGCGAAAGGCAACUCUCGCUGGGCCGACACUGACACUGGAGAGACGAAAGCUAGGGGAGCGAAUGGG